rnacentral:rRNA from 1 species
GUAGUCCACGCCGUAAACGAUGGGUGCUAGCUGUUCGGGGGUUACCCCUGAGUAGCGUAGCUAACGCGUUAAGCACCCCGCCUGGGGAGUACGGUCGCAAGAUUAAAACUCAAAGAAAUUGACGGGGACCCGCACAAGCGGUGGAACAUGUGGUUUAAUUCGAGGCUACGCGAAAAACCUUACCAGGGUUUGACAUGCCCUCUAUGAGAUCUUGAAAGAGAUUUCUUCACUUCGGGUGGGAGGUGCACAGGUGCUGCAUGGCUGUCGUCAGCUCGUGUCGUGAGAUGUUGGGUUAAGUCCCGCAACGAGCGCAACCCUCGUCCUCUGUUGCUAACAGGUUAGGCUGAGCACUCUGAGGAAACUGCCGGUGAUAAGCCGGA